GCCUGCCUGGCCCAGUCAGUAGAGCAUGUGACUUUUGAUCUCAGGGUCAUGAGUUCAAGCCCCAUGUUAAGUG
rnacentral:tRNA from 1 species